CUUAAGAGGCACCCCCACUCUGUUUCAGGACCAGGAGCCUCAGGCAUGAAGAGAACACAGAGUGACAGUUACAAGGUGCAAAAGGAGGAGACCUGAGGGUACCAGGCUGGAGGGUGAGCCCACAGCAGGUCAGGAAGGGAGGACACAGCACCUUGAGAAUGCCUCACAGAAAAGAGCAGGUGAGGGACACCAUUAUUUGCCUGUGGGGAGCUGAAAAAGAAGCAAGAGCUGAGGUGAAGAUAAGCUGCCAGAACCCAGAUUCGGUUGCUUCUGUGACUCUGUAGAACCCUGACGAAUACAGCGGAUGAAGCAUCUGAGAAACAUCUCCUGAGGCUUGCUUACUCCUACUGCCUAAACCCAGGGACACGACCAGGACUCCCACUAAGAAAAAACUCUCUAAGUAUCAUUUCAAACCCACAGUUUCUCUCCUGAGAGCAUGUCAUUCGUCCUAGUUUUGCCCACUGCCUGAGCACCUCAUCCUGGCCAUUCUUGGUUCACUUGCAUAAGUCCUGAGAUCCCUGGAAGGUCAGCACUCACUUCUCCCAGGCUGGUCUGGUCUGAAAUCUUUCUUUAAACUUCUAAGCAUGGCUUGGAGGAGGAUGUGCUUUGCCAAAGUCGAAUCAAGCACACGACAGCCACCAAACGACCCAAAGUGAAAUAAAUACUGUGCAAGCAAUCUAUGUGUCCUAAGGGAAUCGGCGCUAAAGAGCUU